rnacentral:ncRNA from 1 species
UGGGCGGGUCGCGACUGGCGUAGGUGGUCACCACCGGGGAGCGGCACAGAAUUGACCGCGGGUCGUUCGCCUGGGCACGUGGU